GCACUGCUGAGGAGUCCCACAAUAAGACGAAACCGCCUUCCGGUGC
rfam:Schistosoma mattheei strain Denwood, Zambia genome assembly, scaffold: SMTD_scaffold0023602